UACAGAGGGUGCGAGCGUUAAUCGGAGUUACUGGGCGUAAAGGGCACGUAGGCGGUUAUGUAAGUCAGUUGUGAAAUCCCCGGGCUUAACCUGGGAACUGCAAUUGAAACUGUGUGACUAGAGUCGAAGAGAGGGAAGCGGAAUUUCCGGUGUAGCGGUGAAAUGCGUAGAUAUCGGAAGGAACACCCGUGGCGAAGGCGGCUUCCUGGCUUCAGACUGACGCUGAGGUGCGAAAGCGUGGGUAGCGAACAGG
rnacentral:rRNA from 1 species